rnacentral:rRNA from 1 species
AUGCCGCGUGAGUGAUGAAGGCCUUAGGGUCGUAAAGCUCUUUCGCCAGGGAUGAUAAUGACAGUACCUGGUAAAGAAACCCCGGCUAACUCCGUGCCAGCAGCCGCGGUAAUACGGAGGGGGUUAGCGUUGUUCGGAAUUACUGGGCGUAAAGCGCGCGUAGGCGGAUUGGAAAGUUGGGGGUGAAAUCCCAGGGCUCAACCCUGGAACUGCCUCCAAAACUCCUGGUCUUGAGUUCGAGAGAGGUGAGUGGAAUUCCGAGUGUAGAGGUGAAAUUCGUAGAUAUUCGGAGGAACACCAGUGGCGAAGGCGGCUCACUGGCUCGAUACUGACGCUGAGGUGCGAAAGUGUGGGGAGCAAACAGGAUUAGAUACCCUGGUAGUCCACACCGUAAACGAUGAAUGCCAGUCGUCGGGUAGCAUGCUGUUCGGUGACACACCUAACGGAUUAAGCAUUCCGCCUGGGGAGUACGGUCGCAAGAUUAAAACUCAAG